UUCGUAGGCGGUGUAGCAAGUCGGGAGUGAAAUCUCUGGGCUUAACCCAGAGGCUGCUUCCGAAACUGCUGUGCUGGAGUGUGGGAGAGGCGCGUGGAAUUGCAGGUGUAGCGGUGAAAUGCGUAGAUAUCUGCAGGAACACCCGUGGCGAAAGCGGCGCGCUGGACCACUACUGACGCUGAGGAACGAAAGCUAGGGGAGCAAACAGGAUUAGAUACCCUGGUAGUCCUAAGCCCUAAACGAUCAGGACUUGGGGUGCCGCCCGUUCGGGCGUCGUCCCGGAGCUAACGCGUUAAGUCCUGCACCUGGGAGUACGGUCGCAAGACUGAA
rnacentral:rRNA from 1 species